rnacentral:Y_RNA from 1 species
GGCCUCCCAAAGUGCUGGGAUUACAGGCUUGAGCCACCGCGCCCGGCCCAGUUACAGAUUUCUUUGUUCCUUCUCCACUCCCACUGCUUCACAUGACUAGCCUUAA